CGCAUUUCCUCUGCAACUUAGGAUUCAUCACUCUCACCACUUCGCAGAGCACCUGAGAAUUUGGAUCACGAGCAGUUCUUACUCUGAUUCUGGAAUAACAAAUAUCAGAAAUUUCACAGACUUCUAAUGGCCAGCGAGAAUGAUCAAUUCAGCCUAUAUGGACCUAACCAUCUGGUAGACAACAUUGACUGUGGGCUCAUGGGAUACUCCAGUGGUGCCAGCCGGACCUCAGGUCGGAGCAUAAAUGUUACUACUAUGGGUGAUAUAUGGUCAAGCCAAAGGCAGCUUAAUAAACAGGCCUAUGAACAAACAGUGAAGCUGGACUAUAUAGUGUUUGCGCCUAUUCAUUAUUUCAGUAGAGGGUGGAUGCAGUGACCAUUAUUCAAGAAAUAAGAAAAUAUGGAUUAUGGAUGGUCAAGAGUCAGUGAUGGGAGGGAAGAUUAAUUUGGAGAACUUUUGAGCUCAAAUGUUUUAAUGACAUUUUCCAUGGUCCUCUAUCGGAAGACUUUCUUGGAGGAAAAUAUAUAGAGGUUGAUUUGGAAA